rnacentral:sRNA from 12 species
GGUCUUUGACAUAUUUGAUAAGCAACGAUGGAAUAACAAAUAAAUAGUGAUUAACCCAUCGCUGGUAGAGCCUGAGCAAAAAGAGCCAGGUGCAUAGGCAAGGCGUCAGCUUGACGGGCUUGUCCACUGCGGGGAGCGAAACCUCCUGCCAGCAC